UUUAAACGUGGUAGAGUUAGAACGUGUAAUUUCAUUAGUUUCAUCUUUUCUACAGUGAAACAUAACCAGUUAUCUAGUUUGAAACACGGCAUUAAAUUCGUUGAAUGGUGUACUUCCGAAAAGCACAUACCGCCGAUCGAUCUGAAAUUUGGUUUAAUAACGUAUUUUGACCUUCUAAUCACGAAUAUCGUAUCGAAAAUUGGCGCAAACGCCAUUUUGAGUAUGAAAAUCAAAGAAGAACCUCUUUUCGUUCGGUGUGCAUAAUCGCGCAUUCCUAACCGAUUUAGACUAUUUUAGCAUUCCCCAGAAAGGGUAUGUGUGUGUGUACAGCAGAGAUUAGGAACUGUGGGGCUGUGGGGUAGAUAUCGGAGGAAUUGACUUGAGGAUGUGGAAGCCAACAACUUCCUGCUACGGAUGAUGCGAGAUUUGAGAUUGCGGAAGCCAACACUUCCUGCUACGGAUGAUGCGAGAGCGAUCACUCUCUGCUAAUUUUGUCCAGGGUAGCUAAACGCUGCGCUACUGGACUAAGUUGCUGAAACGAAAUAGAAUCACAGAGUCCUCAACGAACGGUGUGAUCCUACAAAAAAUGGUUCUCUCUCGGAUGAGAGAAGCUGGAUAUUAGAUGCAGUAUUCCGGAUGCAGGAUACAAAAUUAUAUGUUGAUGGCGAAGAAGACGAAGAAGACCACAAUCCGCACCAUCGACGGAUUAAUUAUUUACCCGGUCCUACGUUUUUUACA